rnacentral:rRNA from 1 species
UGAACGGCCACAUUGGGACUGAGAUACGGCCCAGACUCCUACGGGAGGCAGCAGUGGGGAAUAUUGGGCAAUGGGGGAAACCCUGACCCAGCAACGCCGCGUGAAGGAAGAAGGCUUUCGGGUUGUAAACUUCUUUUACCAGGGACGAAGGACGUGACGGUACCUGGAGAAAAAGCCACGGCUAACUACGUGCCAGCAGCCGCGGUAAUACGUAGGUGGCAAGCGUUGUCCGGAUUUACUGGGUGUAAAGGGCGUGUAGGCGGAGAAGCAAGUCAGAAGUGAAAUCCAUGGGCUUAACCCAUGAACUGCUUUUGAAACUGUUUCCCUUGAGUAUCGGAGAGGCAGGCGGAAUUCCUAGUGUAGCGGUGAAAUGCGUAGAUAUUAGGAGGAACACCAGUGGCGAAGGCGGCCUGCUGGACGACAACUGACGCUGAGGCGCGAAAGCGUGGGGAGCAAACAGGAUUAGAUACCCUGGUAGUCCACGCUGUAAACGAUGAAUACUAGGUGUGGGAGGACUGACCCCUUCCGUGCCGCAGUUAACACAAUAAGUAUUCCACCUGGGGAGUACGACCGCAAGGUUGAAACUCAAAGGAAUUGACGGGGGCCCGCACAAGCAGUGGAUUAUGUGGUUUAAUUCGACGCAACGCGAAGAACCUUACCGGGAUUUGACAUCCUACUAACGAAGUAGAGAUACAUUAGGUGCCCUUCGGGGAAAGUAGAGACAGGUGGUGCAUGGUUGUCGUCAGCUCGUGUCGUGAGAUGUUGGGUUAAG